rnacentral:rRNA from 1 species
CCUACGGGUGGCAGCAGUGGGGAAUAUUGGGCAAUGGGCGCAAGCCUGACCCAGCAACGCCGCGUGAAGGAAGAAGGCUUUCGGGUUGUAAACUUCUUUUCUGAGGGACGAAGAAAGUGACGGUACCUCAGGAAUAAGCCACGGCUAACUACGUGCCAGCAGCCGCGGUAAUACGUAGGUGGCAAGCGUUAUCCGGAUUUAUUGGGUUUAAAGGGAGCGUAGGCCGGUCUUUAAGCGUGCCGUGAAAUUUUGUGGCUCAACCAUGAGAGUGCGGCGCGAACUGGAGACCUUGAGUGCGCGGAAGGCAGGCGGAAUUCGUGGUGUAGCGGUGAAAUGCUUAGAUAUCACGAAGAACCCCGAUUGCGAAGGCAGCCUGCCGCAGCGUUACUGACGCUGAAGCUCGAAAGCGCGGGUAUCGAACAGGAUUAGAUACCCGUGUAGUC